GGCGGCGUGCUUAACACAUGCAAGUCGAACGGAAAGGCCCUUCGGGGUACUCGAGUGGCGAACGGGUGAGUAACACGUGGGUGAUCUGCCCUGCACUUUGGGAUAAGCCUGGGAAACUGGGUCAAAUACCGAAUAGGACCACGCGCUUCAUGGUGUGUGGUGGAAAGCUUUUGCGGUGUGGGAUGGGCCCGCGGCCUAUCAGCUUGUUGGUGGGGUAAUGGCCUACCAAGGCGACGACGGGUAGCCGGCCUGAGAGGGUGACCGGCCACACUGGGACUGAGAUACGGCCCAGACUCCUACGGGAGGCAGCAGUGGGGAAUAUUGCACAAUGGGCGCAAGCCUGAUGCAGCGACCCCGCGUGAGGGAUGACUCCUUCGGGUUGUAAACCUCUUUCACCAGGGACGAAGCGCAAGUGACGGUACCUGGAGAAGAAGCACCGGCCAACUACGUGCCAGCAGCCGCGGUAAUACGUAGGGUGCGAGCGUUGUCCGGAAUUACUGGGCGUAAAGAGCUCGUAGU
rnacentral:rRNA from 1 species